AUGAUCUCUUCGUUACUUACGGUAGCAUACGGUGGAGUGAAAUCACGAAAACCUAGAAACCAAUGAUGUCGGGAGUGGUAAGACCAUUGGUGAAUCUACCAGUGACGCCUUGUGGAAAAUCGAUCCCAUAAGGCGGGUAAUUGGCUUUUUCGGCUUUCACGAAUCUAUUGUUAUUGCCACUAUCGACUAGAGAGUCACCAAACAGAAAGUAACAUGGGACUUGUGGUUCACCAAUGACAACAAACGUUCGAAAUUGCAUCAAAGCUGCAAUUAAGAGAACACGAACCAAUAGGCCAU
rnacentral:lncRNA from 1 species